AUUCCACAUGCAAUCGACGCUACGGGGCUGCACUUGGGUGUUUACAACUGAUAUCCAUGGUUCCUCCCAACCCUGUGUUCAUUUUGAAACCUUAGAGUUAAACGGUAUAACAUGAACUCAAGGUCUGGCCUGGAUGUUCUUGCUUACUUUGGGAUUAUUUAUAGUCUUUACGUAGCUGGACAACAGUAAAAACAUUCAUAACACAGCGUUGCCUAGAACAGUUAAUUGUGUGGGAUUUUUGGUUACCAUCCCUCUGAACACAUUACAGGCUCCUACAGUACUGUAUUAAUAGCAGCAGAGCAAUCUUUCCAAUGAAGAGAAAAGAAUGGUUUCAACCAAAUAAGGAUAUGCCAUGUGCAAACAAAACAUAGUUCAUAACCCAGAGGCCAGGCUUCACAAAUCUAGGUCCUCUUACUGCUUAUUGAAAGAGGCUUCUGAAUCAACCUUUUCCCCCCUAUACACCAUUUUUUUAUUUUGUUUUUUUAAUCCUUUACCUUUUUAUACCCAAAAACAAACCUUAACAAGAAAUGCACCUGAUUUGUCAUAGUAUAAGACAUGUGCACACUAGGGCUGUUCGAUAUAACGAUAUAUAUCGGAUGACGAUAUAAAAACAUCUAUUGUUUCAUUUUACGCUAUCGUUUGUUUCGUGGUGUCGCAAAAUAAACUGUUUACGACACUAUUUUUUCAUUGUUCUGAUGGUCACUGUAGUGGCUAUAUUAAUUUCUUAAAGUUCUCUCUUUCUCUUAUAUUUUAUAUACCCACACUACUGACGGACAAGCGCCUGUUUUUAUGCGUUGUCUUUAGCAACAGCGAGGGUAACACCUUCGCGUGUCCGCUUGUUUAUGUUCCACAUAAACCUUUCACAAUAAAGCUCAGGAUCCUGUUGAGACUUUUCAAAAUAAACUGAAUCACGUGAAAGAGCAGAUUAUUUACGGAUGAGAAGUUAAAAAAAAAAAAAAAAGAGCCGCCAGGUGCUAAAAAAAUAAACCUUAGACUCAAACGUUAGAACAGGCUUUUCCCCGCAGCACGCCGUGUAAUAAAUACUCACAAAGAAAACGGCGGCCGUUACAACUUAUGUCUAAAAAUGUAUAGUUUCAUGCAUCGGUUAAAACAAUCGACUCCGGGUAAAGGACGCGCAGCUGGAAACACUUCACGCAUGUGUAGAGGCAGAGAUAUUGCAGUUCAUGACAUCACAGUGCAAAAUUAGGAGGAGUUGGUAGUUUCUGUGUGGGAGCUCGCUGCUCAUCGCCACAGUAACAAUAAACAUUACGCAGGUGAACCCAAAGGAAAUGAGAAACGCCCUCUUAAAACUCUAAAAGCCAACAUGACAAAUUCCUUCCAUCCCCCCCAUCACAGCCACUGGACACAAACACACACACAAAGUCAGCACCCAGUGAGAGAAUGAGGUUCACCUCUUCAGGCAUGGUAUACAG
ensembl:lncRNA